GCACAGUACCUUAUGUAGUCCUUACUGC
rnacentral:piRNA from 1 species